rnacentral:lncRNA from 1 species
AAAAAACAAAAAACAAAAGGCUUAGAAUAGAACCUAAAAGAAAACUAAAGCUGGGAAAUGAAAUCAGAGGAAUCUACAAUUAUUUCUUAUAACCUAUACCUAUCAAAACAGAAACAUAAGAAAGCAUCAGAAACUAAAAACUAUUUAAGAUGAAAAGAACCUGAAAGGGAUGCUAACUAAGGACUAAAAUAGAACCUAAUAUAUGAG